rnacentral:miRNA from 1 species
CAGCUCAACAUCUUUCCU